UUUUAAUUGUAUUUUUCAUUAAAGCCCAGUGGAUCGAUCGUUUUUAUUUUUUGUAUCCAUUGUCGUUCAAUUCGACGUCUCUGUUGUUUGGACCAGGUCUGUUUGCUAUCCAGGAUUCUAUAUUUCAAAAAUUCCAGGCCAACUUGGAUGAAAUGCCUAUGUAGGAUCGAUGUACCCUAACCUCCCCGUAUACGGUACAGAUGUUGUGAGAUUCUGGUUUUGGCUGUUUUUUCUGUUUCCCCAAUAUAAAGUUUAUUACAGUGUGUACAUUCGAUCAUAUAGAUCAAGUUGGUGGUUUGUGGAGUACAUCUGAAUGUUACUGUAGCUCCCUGCCCUGAAUGGCUAUUUACUAUAUACGGUGAGUAUCUGAGUAACCACGUGUCUGUGCUGUUGUUUUUGGAAUGAUCAAAUCGUGUGUGAACCAGUAUGUCUGAUAGGUUUUUAUUUCUUUUAUAGGCUGUAAUCGGGCGGAAAUUAUUCAAGGGGUCGAUUAAUUCCUGUGCCCGGUGGAAAUUGGCCUUUAAGCCUGAAAUUAAACCUGAAAGGUCCUGGGAAUAUGUUAACACCAACGGGACAAGUGCGAGACUACUCUUAUCUGUUUUAUAAUCUUUUUUAUUUUUGAAUGAGUUUCUGACCUCCGAUCUAAUUGACGGCUGGAAUAACCUCUGGGUCUAAGGGCUGUGAACAGAGUCGAGGUAGCCUCAUCUAUGUCCUGCUGGUAAGUGCAUAUCCUAUGGAAUCUUAUUAAUUGUGAUUUGAUGAUCCCUUUAAAUGUGUGUCUGGGGUGGUAACUGCUCUUGUGUAGAAGGGUGUGGCGGUCGGUCUCUUUGAAGUGUACUUUGGUGGCCAGCUGUUUCGAGUGGGCAGUGUGAUUAUGGAAGAAGAUCCGCGUGUCCAGGAAUUCAAUCUCCUGUGUUUGCACCUGGAACGGGACUGUCCAGGUAUCUGGUGGUUUAUGGAUUUUAGGAAGUAGAUAAAAUAGUCUGGAACGCGGAUUAUCUGGGCCAAGGAGAGGUUGUUCCAGGGGGACAUAAUAGGUUGUGUUGUUGAGCUGUCUUUCUGCUUCCAGGAGAUAAUUAAAUCUAUCCUGUAAGACUAUUUGUCCUCCCUUGUCUGCAGGUUUUAUGAUUAUAUCCUGUCUUUUGCUGAGUGCAGAGAGUGCCUUUCUUUGAAUCCCUGUAAUGUUUAAUUUUGCCCUGUAGGAGGCUCUAAAACGGGAGAGGCAUUCCUCAUCCUUCCGGAUUAGUUCUUGGAUGGGCUCCGCCAGAGAUUCAAAGGCAGGUUCCCAGGUGGAAUUAGUUGUAAAUGGAAUGUGUGGGAAUUCUGUGUUAUAGUGGAAAUGAUCCAAGAUUUUUAAUCUUCUAUGGUAAGUGUGUAGAUCACUGCGCAGUUGGUCAGGAUCUGGUGGUCUGGGUGUUGGAAUAAAUGUGAGUCCCCUCUUUAAAAUCUCCCUUUCUAGGUAGUUUAGUUUAAAGGAAGAGCAGAGGUUGGUGAUGUUUGAGUUUUGGGGAGUUGCUGUAGUGCACUGCUCCCCACUCACAUGUUUAAUUGAUCCACCCAGUGUUCAGCUAUUUUCUCGGCCGUCUCCUUAGUCCAGUGUACUGGAUCUCUUGGCUCAGUCUUGAAGUGGAGUGGACUGAUCUCUGACAGGGGGAAGUUUUUUCAAAAUCUCCCCUAUGUGAUGGAAUUGUGCUCCAGGGAAGCUGUCCAUCUGGAUUUCUUCACUGGCAAAUUGUGGCACUCGAGCUAGAUUUGAAUCUCCUAUUAUUAUAAUAGCUUUUCUAGGUGUGAGGUGCCAAUUCCUAAUUUUAUGCUCCGUUCUCUGGUGGACCGUGGGUUCACAGUCGGAGGUCACCGCGGCCCCAGAGUGCAGACGAGGAGGCCGCAGCUGCUCCGGCUGCUUAGACCGUGGUUCUGGAGCUGGAGGGGGAGAGGAGGAGACAGUGAUUUGAGAAGGGGAUUGUGGCUGGGACAGCGUUAGGGGGUCCUCAAAGGUCUGCAGGGGGGCCCCCCUGUGUUUCAUGCCACAGCCCUCCAGAAGAGUGGAUGACGCUGUCGAUACAGGAGGUAUCUGCAAAGGAGAAGCGAUAUUCAUUCUUGCAGUGUGUGGAUGAGCCGGUGUGGGUUCCACCGGUUCCUGUGGUUUGGCAAGCGGGGAACUCAGAGGCCGGCUGUCCCUGUCUGGAUCUAGAGUUGGUGAUUUAAUGUUGUCAGGUGUGUCUUGAGAGGCUGGGGAAGGGAUGGCUGGUGCAUUGGGGAUAGUUUGGCCUGUGCCGCCUGAUCUGGAGUGGGGAGAGGUGGAAAAUCCUGUAGAGAGGGUUCCACACUCUCCGGGCCCACCUGUGGUUGCCCUUGGAGCACCAUGGUUCUCAGGGUGUCUAUGGAGCUGUCGGUAAGUCGAGGUCCAUAUCUCAGUUUAGCCCAUUUUAAGGCUUUACUUAAGGCUGCUGGUUGAAAGGUUAUCACCUGUGCUAAAAGAGAUGCUAAUAAGGCAUCAUAAUGGUCAGCCAGGAUUAUUAAAUUAUUGUUCAGCCAUUGAUCUGUGUUUAUUUUAACCCUUUCCAGAGUUGCCGGAUUAGGAACUGCUGGUUUAAUGAAGUCUAGAUCCUGAGGGUCAUUUGGAGGAGCCGAGGCAGUUUCCCUAGGGGCUGGCUUGAGUAGAUUUUGUUCCGCAGUCCCACACUUACCCGGGCUAUUUGGUUGAGCCAGCACUUCAAAUCUGUUACUCAGGGGUAAGGACAUGGUGGCUGUGCUGCUAAGAGAUCCGUAGUGAAAAGCAGAGGGUUUGUUAAACAGAUGAUAGUAUAAAAAAUAAAAUUAGGUAAUCAGUCAGUUAAAAUGAAACAAUAAUUAAAUUAAUGAUUAAAUUUCAUUUAAACAGAUCUGGUUAAAUAAAAACCAAAUUAAAUGAGCAUAAGAGAUACUUAAAAGAGGAUACUAAAACAAGGGGGGAACAAAAGGAUUAAAAGAGAAAGGGGUAGGGAAGAUAAGAGAGGAGACAACAGCACACUAGGUUAGCUUAAAAUACUUAGCAAGCACUUACAGUGCAGUAGAAAACAAUAAGGCUCCGUGAUAAUCCUGUAUUACCAAAACAGGGGGACACGUGUGUAAAAAAAAUCAGGAUUCAAAAAUAUCCUUGCAGGGCAAUCAUAAAUAGAAAAUAAAAGAUAUAAAAUAAAUAAAUAAUAAAAAGUCCUUCAGGGUGGGGAAUCCAUCCAAACAGGGGAUGAGUUUUGUUUAAAAUAGUUGAGGUUUGUGUCGAUGCUUGGAUUAGCUGGGGAGAGUUGUGUAGAGUCUUCAAACGUGAUGUUGUAUAAUCUUCUGUGUGCGCACACUCUUUUUCCUGUAGGUUAGUAGACAACACUCACCCAUUUGCUGAUCCAGGCCUGAGACCAGAUCCAGUAGGCCUCAAGCCUCAGUCCUCUGGUUAGACCCUGUUUGUUGAGAAAACCUGUCUGAAGUUAGUCUCUCUCAGAGGAUUAAAGGAAAGAAGGUCCCAACGUUUCGCCUGGAAGGCUUCUUCAGGGGAGCAAGAAGAGAGUGAAGGAUCCAGGCCUCUAUAUUCAUAUAGAUCAAGUCCAUGAGGGUGGAUCCUAGAAAUAAAAGGUUCCAUAUUGGCUCAUGGAGAAAAAGCAGAUUGAUAAAUGGUCCGGAGCUGGUUCAGUGAGAGGAGAGUACAAGUUUUGAAAGGAUAUGAAGGUAAGUAAAGGGAGGGGACAAGGAGGGGUGAGGAAAACACAGCCUAUUAGGACAGGGAGUAUUAUUUGUGAAAAUGUUGAAUUUUUAUAUAUCCCUGAUAUUUUUUUUUCAAUCACAUCAAUAGGUUGUGUUAGGGAUCCUCAACUCUGGAGAUCCUGUUGGACCUGGAUUGGGGGCUCUUCCUCCUGAAAACCGGGAGGGGGGGGGUUUAUAGCUUUACUAGUUAGAGUUGGGUCCUCCAACAUAGUAAUAGGAUUAGGUCAAGGUCAGG